AUUGAACGCUGGCGGCAGGCCUAACACAUGCUAGUCGAGCGAGCGGCGGACGGGUGAGUAAUGUCUGGGAAACUGCCUGAUGGAGUGAGAUAACUACUGGAAACGGUAGCUAAUACCGCAUACCCUCAGAUGUGCCCAGAUGGGAUUAGCUAGUAGGUGUGGUAACGGUUAACCUAGUCGACGAUCCCUAGCUGGUCUGCGAGGAUGACCAGCCAAACUGGAACUGAGACACGGUCCAGGCUCCUACGGGAGGCAGCAGUGGGGAAUAUUGCACAAUGGGUGCAAGCCUGAUGCAGCCAUGCCGCGUGUGGGAAGUAGGCCUUCGGGUUGUAAAGCACUUUGAGCGGGGAGGCGUUACCCGCAGAAGAAGCACAGGCUAACUCCGUGACAGCAGCCGCGGUAAUUC
rnacentral:rRNA from 1 species